UGAGAUGAUCUCCUUAACAUAAGAGCCC
rnacentral:piRNA from 1 species